rnacentral:rRNA from 1 species
UACGGAGGGUGCAAGCGUUAUCCGGAUUUACUGGGUUUAAAGGGUGCGUAGGUGGGCAGGUAAGUCAGUGGUGAAAUCUCCGGGCUUAACCCGGAAACUGCCAUUGAUACUAUCUGUCUUGAAUUUCCUGGAGGUAAGCGGAAUAUGUCAUGUAGCGGUGAAAUGCUUAGAUAUGACAUAGAACACCAAUUGCGAAGGCAGCUUACUAAACAGCAAUUGACGCUGAGGCACGAAAGCGUGGGGAUCAAACAGG